CGGCGGGAAGCAGAGGAGCAGCAAUGGCGCUCCGGCCCCGCUCCUGCCUUGCGGCGGCCCCGGGCAGGGAGGCUGAGCCCGGCGGGAGCUGGGGCUCGGCCCUGGGCGUCGGUGCGGCCGCAGCGGAGCCUGGAGGGGACGAGAGGAGCAGGCGGAGGCUGCGGCACGGCCCCGCUGCGGCGGGCAGCGGCCGAGGCAGCUCCGCUCGGGCGGCGCAGAGGCAGCAGAGGCGAGCGCGGGCGGAGCGGAGCCGUGCGGGGAGCAGAGGGACCCCCGGGGGCAGCCGGGCCCGGGGGCGGCUCCGCUCCUGCCCGCGGGGCUGAGCCAGGUCCCGCUGCUGCUGCGGCCCCGCCGGGCUCAGCCUCCCUGGGCCGGGCAGGAGCUGCCCUGACCGCGCUGAGCUGCAGCUGAUGCCAACCUCUGCGGCUCCAGAACCGCUCUGCGGCCCAGGGAGCUGCGGCCUGGGGUGGCACCGAGCCAGGUGCCAGCUGCUGUGCCCAGCUCCGGGCGCGGCUGGGGCACAGGAGGUGCAGCUUUGGGCUGCGUCCUCCGCGCUGGGGCUCGAAGCUCCUGUGCCUGCUGUGCCCCCGAGCCCUGACUGCCUUCCCUGCCCCCUCCCUGCGGGGGCAGCAGCGCCAAGGUGCCCCCCCCGUGCUGGGCAGGGAGCUGAGGAGAUGCCCACCCUGGGCUGUGCCUGCUGGAGGCUGCUGCGGCCACUUGGGCUGCCUCGGGGCCGUGGGCAGGCAGCAGGAGAGGUCUGCAGAGGAGGGAAGAGCCCAGCAGAAGCCAGCUCAGGAUGGACAGCUCAGGUCCGGUGUGAAGGGGUGAGUUCCUUCCCUGCUGUGGGAUUCCUGCUCUGAAGAAGCCCUGGGCAGAGGGCACCAACCCUACCUGCUGCCUGCCAGAAGCAGUGCCCCAGGCAGCAGGGCACAGCCUGAGCCAGGCCUGGGGGAGAGGCUGAGGCUGGCCCCGGAGCUCUGCAGGGUGAGUUCCCCUCUGGCCUCUGCUGCAGGGCUGUGGUGGCAGCAGAGGGGCACAGGAGCAGCUCUGCAGGGGGCUGGAGAGGGUUCAGGAGCAGGCAGCUGAGCUUUGUGCAGGCUGCUCCUGCCAGGGCUGGCCUGGGCACAGCAGCUUUGGGCAGAGCUCUGGGAGGAGCUGUGAGGAGCCCCUGGCUGUAAAGAGGCUGCAGGGAGCUGCUUGGAGCCUUCGCUGCUCUCCAGCCCUGCUGUGGGAUUCCUGCUCUGCCUUCCCUGGGAGCAGAUCCCAGCCCCUGCUCUGGGCAGAGCUCAUCCUGCAGUGCUGGGGCCUGCUCCGGAGCCCUCAGCACAGGAGGGAGCUGAGGAGCAGAGCCAGAGGAGGCCACCACGGUGGUCUGGGGGGGAGGUGUUCAGCCAGGGACCCCCACUGCAGCCUUCCAUGCCUGAAGGAGCUCACUGGGGAGCAGAGCCAGGCUGGGGGGGGCUGCUGCUGGGGGCUGCUCCUGUGUUAUGAAUUAAUUAACACUUAAUAAGCAUCAAAGUUGUUAAUGAAGAUGUAAUUAAAAGCUGUUUAUUAGAGUGUGUUAA